rnacentral:rRNA from 1 species
UGCGUAGGCGGCUCGAUAAGUAUGGUGUGAAAUCUCCCGGCUUAACUGGGAGGGUGCGCUAUAGACUGCCGGGCUAGAGUGUGGGAGAGGAAAGUGGAAUUCCUGGUGUAGCGGUGAAAUGCGUAGAUAUCAGGAGGAACACCGGUGGUGUAAACGGCUUUCUGGACCAUAACUGACGCUGAGGCACGAAAGCGUGGGUAGCAAACAGGAUUAGAUACCCUGGUAGUCCACGCCCUAAACGAUGCAUAUUUGGUGUGGGUCAUUUCAGUUGAUCCGUGCCGGAGCUAACGCGUUAAAUAUGCCGCCUGGGGAGUACAGUCGCAAAGGCUGAA